rnacentral:rRNA from 1 species
AUACGGAGGAUCCGAGCGUUAUCCGGAUUUAUUGGGUUUAAAGGGUGCGCAGGCGGCCAUUUAAGUCAGCUGUGAAAGUUUGGGGCUCAACCUUAAAAUUGCAGUUGAUACUGGUUUCCUUGAGUACGGUAUAGGUGGGCGGAAUUCGUGGUGUAGCGGUGAAAUGCUUAGAUAUCACGAAGAACUCCGAUCGCGAAGGCAGCUCACCGGGCCGGAACUGACACUGAUGCUCGAAAGUGCGGGUAUCAAACAGGAUUAGAUACCCUGGUAGUCCGCACAGUAAACGAUGAAUACUCGCUGUUUGCGAUACACUGUAAGCGGCCAAGCGAAAGCGUUAAGUAUUCCACCUGGGGAGUACGCCGGCAACGGUGAAACUCAAAUGAAUUGACGGGG